rnacentral:rRNA from 1 species
AUUGAACGCUGGCGGCAUGCUUUACACAUGCAAGUCGAACGGUAACAGGCCGCAAGGUGCUGACGAGUGGCGAACGGGUGAGUAAUGCAUCGGAACGUGCCCAGUCGUGGGGGAUAACGCAGCGAAAGCUGCGCUAAUACCGCAUACGAUCUAUGGAUGAAAGCGGGGGACCGAAAGGCCUCGCGCGAUUGGAGCGGCCGAUGUCAGAUUAGGUAGUUGGUGAGGUAAAGGCUCACCAAGCCAACGAUCUAUAGCUGGUCUGAGAGGACGACCAGCCACACUGGGACUGAGACACGGCCCAGACUCCUACGGGAGGCAGCAGUGGGGAAUUUUGGACAAUGGGCGCAAGCCUGAUCCAGCAAUGCCGCGUGCAGGAAGAAGGCCUUCGGGUUGUAAACUGCUUUUGUACGGAACGAAACGGUCCGGGUUAAUACCCUGGGCUAAUGACGGUACCGUAAGAAUAAGCACCGGCUAACUACGUGCCAGCCGCCGCCGUAAGAC